rnacentral:rRNA from 1 species
AUUGAACGCUGGCGGCAUGCCUUACACAUGCAAGUCGAACGGCAGCACGGGAGCAAUCCUGGUGGCGAGUGGCGAACGGGUGAGUAAUAUAUCGGAACGUGCCCAGUCGUGGGGGAUAACGUAGCGAAAGCUACGCUAAUACCGCAUACGAUCUAUGGAUGAAAGCGGGGGAGUCGCAAGACCUCGCGCGAUUGGAGCGGCCGAUAUCAGAUUAGGUAGUUGGUGGGGUAAAAGCCUACCAAGCCUUCGAUCUGUAGCUGGUCUGAGAGGACGACCAGCCACACUGGAACUGAGACACGGUCCAGACUCCUACGGGAGGCAGCAGUGGGGAAUUUUGGACAAUGGGCGCAAGCCUGAUCCAGCAAUGCCGCGUGCAGGAUGAAGGCCUUCGGGUUGUAAACGUAGCGUUUUGUCUAGGGAAGGAAAUACUUCU